ACAGCACGUGACCAGCCUUAUCCGAAGAGGACGCUUGGCUCUCGCACCAUCCACCUGCAUCUAUCUCCCAUCCUCCCUCGCGACCUCCUCCAAGAAGACUGAUGCCGACGUCGGCGUCCCUGCUCCUCCCUUCCCAACGCGAGCUCUCCCUCCCUCGCUCCCUUCUCCGGUGUUGAUGUCGCCCUGCUUCGUGGAUGGGCCAUGGCGGCACAGGUCAGGCAUGGUUCACGAGCUCCUAGGCACUGGUCGGAACCCUAGCCGCCGGUCAAAAUCCUAACCACCGGCCAAAGGGGUGGCCGCCGUUCUUCUCCGCCGACUAGAUCAACUACGGAUGGCCGUCCUUCUUCUCCUCCAGUCAGAUGCACGGCGAGUCGGCCGCCCUUCUUCUCCUCUGGCCAGAUCCACGACAUGGCAGCGAAUUCCAGGACGCGGUGGCAGCGGCUAUAGUAGCAGCGGCUAUAGUAGCAGGUUUGCUGUUCCCUCUCUUUUCCCCCUCUCUUGCAGGCUGUGCGAUGGAUCUAUGGGUGGUGGAUCUGGUGUGCUGGGGUCUCAGCAUGGUGGUGGCUCUCCAGAUCCAGUCCACAAAAUCUUGGAAGGAUCUGAGCUUUUUAAAGAAUGUCAGUUUGGGCUGCAAUGAGGUGAGUUCUUGAGCUUAUAGAUUCAGUGAAUGAAGCUUUUCGUUUCACAAAAAAAAGUGAAUGAAGCUUUUCACUUUGCAGGACAUGGAGAAAUUCCAGCAACAUAAGGUAUUCACUCAUGCUCCUGACACCGAGAAGACCUAGCUGCCAGCACCUAUUGAACUAUUAGUUUGGUGACUAAGGGCACUUGUGAGAUAGGGAUGUGAGAUUUCAUUUGUUUACUUUAUCUGAGAUAUCCUUGUGACUAAGGUCACUUGUUGAACUAUAGUUUGGUGUUCGUGAUGAAUGUAAUAAAUAUGUUGAUGAAUGACUUGUGAACCUAUUGAUUUGGCUAUGAAUGGAAUAUAUUGUUGGACCUACAUA